CGACCUUUCUCAGAUAAAACUGAAAAACAAGAAACGCCUAGAACCAAGAAUAAGCAGAAUUUUCUUAAAAAAUUCUGGAAAAGAAUCACCUGGAAAUCAAAGAACAAGACAGAAAGUAAAAUAGAUGAACAAAGUGAUAAAAAGUUGAAGAAAUCGUCCAAGCUGACAUCUUUAAUGUGUUUAUGCCAACCAAAAACCAUGGAUUAAACUGGAGAGUGAACGUUAAUUGUUUAUAUAUUUUAUCUAU